rnacentral:misc_RNA from 1 species
GUGAAUCAUCAAAUUUUUGAACGCAAAUUGCACUCUCUGGUAUUCCGGAGAGUAUGCCUGUUUGAGGGUCAGUUAAAUAAAAAUCGGUGUUUUGUCGCCGCUUUGCGUAGUGACGCAUCGGGUUUGGGUCGUCUUAUUUUCGGUUAAGUGACCUAAAUUUUUGUAUGAUUUUAGAACUUAUUUAAUUAAUUUUCUUACGUUUGUACUUUCUGACAUUUGGU